rnacentral:rRNA from 1 species
CCUACGGGUGGCAGCAGUGAGGCAUAUUGGUCAAUGGGCGCGAGCCUGAACCAGCCAAGUCGCGUGAAGGAAGAAGGAUCUAUGGUUUGUAAACUUCUUUUAUCGUGGAAUAAAGGUAUCCACGUGUGGAUAUUUGCAUGUACCCUAUGAAUAAGCAUCGGCUAACUCCGUGCCAGCAGCCGCGGUAAUACGGAGGAUGCGAGCGUUAUCCGGAUUUAUUGGGUUUAAAGGGUGCGUAGGUUGUUUUUUAAGUCAGCGGUGAAAGUUUGUGGCUCAACCAUAAAAUUGCCGUUGAAACUGGAAGACUUGAGUGUGUUUGAGGUAGGCGGAAUGCGUGGUGUAGCGGUGAAAUGCAUAGAUAUCACGCAGAACUCCGAUUGCGAAGGCAGCUUACUAAGCCAUAACUGACACUGAAGCACGAAAGCGUGGGGAGCAAACAGGAUUAGAUACCCGGGUAGUC